AUUGAACGCUGGCGGCGUGCCUAACACAUGCAAGUCGAGCGGUAACAGGUGUAGCAAUACAUGCUGACGAGCGGCGGACGGGUGAGUAACGCUUGGGAAUCUGCCUGUUAGUGGGGGACAACCCGGGGAAACUCGGGCUAAUACCGCAUACGCACUACGGUGGAAAGCCGGGGACCGCAAGGCCUGGCGCUAACAGAUGAGCCCAAGUCGGAUUAGCUAGUUGGUAGGGUAACGGCCUACCAAGGCGACGAUCCGUAACUGGUCUGAGAGGACGACCAGUCACACCGGAACUGAGACACGGUCCGGACUCCUACGGGAGGCAGCAGUGGGGAAUAUUGGACAAUGGCGAAAGCCUGAUCCAGCGACGCCGCGUGGGUGAAGAAGGCCUGCGGGUUGUAAAGCCCUUUUCGGUGGGGAAGAAAAGCCUCGAGUUAAUACCUCGGGGUCUUGACGUAA
rnacentral:rRNA from 1 species